UCCCAGCCUCCUUCUCCCUGCUUCUCUCUUUCUCUCUUUCUUUACUUGCAAAAAAUGCUAUGCAGCUGGGCUGCACCUCAGUGAAUGAAUUGGUGCACUGUGAGCCACCAUCAUCUCUCCACUGGAUUUCCGUUUGCUGCCGGCUUCCACCCAGAACAUAUGAAUUUGCUGAUACAGACCCUUUUGAGGAGUUGAAAAGACAGGUCGGAGAAAAUGGCACAACGCGUGGUUUUCCUUUUCCUGUGGCUCUCUGAGCAGUCCUUCGCAGGAUUCCCCAAUCAGAUAAAUAUCGGAGGGCUGUUCAUGCGUUCCACGGUUCAGGAGCACAGCGCGUUCCGGUUCGCUGUCCAACUCUACAACACCAACCAGAACACCACCGAGAAACCUUUUCAUCUCAACUACAACGUCGACAACCUGGAGUCGUCCAACAGCUUCUCGGUCACCCACGCAUUUUGCUCUCAGUUCUCCCGCGGGGUGUACGCCAUCUUCGGAUUCUACGACAAGAAGUCCAUGAACACCUUGACCUCGUUCUGCGGCGCUCUGCACACCUCCUUUGUCACGCCCAGUUACCCCACCGAUAACGAGGUGCAGUUUGUCAUCCAGAUGCGGCCCGCCCUCCGGGGCGCCGUGCUCAGCCUGCUCUCCCACUACAAGUGGCAGAAGUUUGUUUACCUGUACGACACCGAUCGGGGUUUCUCCAUACUGCAGGCCAUCAUGGAGGCGGCUGUGGCGAACAGCUGGCAGGUGACCGCUCGCUCCGUCAGCAGCACAACAGACGCAGCAGAGUUCAGACGCAUCAUCGAGGAGAUGGACAGGAGGCAGGAGAAGCUCUUUGUGAUAGACUGUGAGGUGGACAGGAUCAAUACCAUAUUAGAGCAGGUUGUGACCCUGGGGAAGAACAGUCGUGGUUACCACUACAUCCUGGCCAAUCUGGGAUUUUCAAAUGUAAGCCUGGACAAAGUCUUUGCCGGCGGAGCAAACAUCUCUGGGUUUCAGAUUGUCAACCCUGAAAACCCGAUUGUGCAGCAGUUCAUGCAGCGAUGGGAGCGGUUAGAUGAAAGAGAAUUCCCAGAAGCUCGAAACGCUCCUCUGAAGUACACCUCCGCUCUGACCCACGACGCCAUCCUAGUGAUAGCAGAGGCAUUCAGGUACCUUAGGCGCCAGCGAGUAGACGUCUCCCGUCGAGGCAGCGCUGGUGACUGUCUUGCCAAUCCCGCUGUACCUUGGAGCCAGGGGAUAGACAUCGAAAGGGCUUUGAAAACGGUCCAGGUGAAGGGCAUGACUGGGAAUAUUCAGUUUGACAACUAUGGCCGCAGGACCAAUUACACCAUAGAUAUCUAUGAGAUGAAAACAGGUGGGCCGAGGAAGAUCGGCUACUGGAAUGAGUACACGCGGUUUGUAAAUAUUAUGGAUCCGCAGGUCUCCAACGACUCCUCAGUGGAAAACCGAACCAUUGUGGUCACUACUAUUAUGGAAGCUCCGUAUGUGAUGUACAAGAAAAAUUAUAUGCAUCUGGAGGGGAAUGACAGAUAUGAAGGCUACUGCGUCGAUUUAGCAUCUGAGAUUGCCAAACAUGUUGGAAUUAAGUACAAACUGUCAAUAGUAAUGGACGGCAAGUAUGGAGCCCGGGACCCUGAGACCAAGACAUGGAACGGGAUGGUGGGUGAACUGGUCUAUGGGAGAGCAGAUAUAGCCGUUGCACCUCUCACCAUUACACUGGUUCGAGAGGAGGUGAUAGACUUUUCCAAACCUUUUAUGAGCUUGGGCAUCUCCAUUAUGAUAAAGAAGCCACAAAAGUCCAAGCCUGGCGUGUUCUCCUUCCUGGACCCGUUGGCCUAUGAAAUCUGGAUGUGUAUAGUGUUUGCCUAUAUCGGGGUGAGCGUGGUCCUGUUCCUGGUCAGUCGUUUCAGUCCUUACGAGUGGAACCUCGAAGAGCAGGAUGAAACCAAAGAUCCCCAGACUCCCCCUGAUCCUCCCAAUGACUUUGGCAUCUUCAACUCUCUCUGGUUCUCGCUGGGCGCCUUCAUGCAGCAGGGCUGCGACAUCUCUCCCAGGUCCCUGUCAGGUCGAAUCGUUGGUGGUGUGUGGUGGUUCUUCACCCUCAUCAUCAUCUCCUCCUACACAGCCAACCUGGCUGCCUUCCUGACUGUGGAAAGAAUGGUCUCGCCUAUAGAAAGUGCUGAGGAUCUGGCCAAGCAGACAGAAAUAGCCUACGGCACUCUGGACUCAGGCUCCACUAAAGAGUUCUUUAGGCGAUCCAAAAUAGCAGUGUAUGAGAAGAUGUGGUCCUACAUGAAAUCUGCCGAGCCCUCUGUGUUUGUUAAGACCACUCCUGAUGGCGUUGCCCGGGUGCGGAAGUCAAAGGGCAAGUUUGCCUUCCUGCUUGAAUCAACCAUGAACGAGUACAUCGAGCAGCGGAAGCCCUGCGACACCAUGAAAGUCGGAGGGAACCUCGACUCGAAAGGCUACGGUGUGGCGACGCCCAAAGGCUCUGCAUUAAGAAAUGCUGUUAACCUGGCAGUUUUAAAACUGAAUGAGCAAGGCCUCUUGGACAAAUUGAAAAACAAAUGGUGGUACGACAAGGGAGAGUGCGGCAGCGGGGGAGGUGACUCCAAGGUCAGCCUCGAUGUCACCAAAAUCGGGUACCAUAGUGCAGAGUAAUCGGCAAGGCUGUUAACACCAACCCAACUACAGCGAUUCAAACUGCUGCCACAUCCAGGCAGAUCCCCCAGGCCCACCGGUAGUCUGAACAGAUGGUUUAACAGCUCAGAUCAAAGGAAGACGCCUUUGUUUAACCAGCAGAAACACAGUUUUUGGAAAGCAAAGAGGGAGAGGUGUCUAAGUUUGGGAAUAGUCGGGAAUGAAGGUUUGGUUCUUGAACAUGGCUUCCCUGCAUCUGUGAAGAAGUGACGUUUGUUAACUCCCCGUCACAGAAAUGCUGGGCAGGACUUCCUUUGGGUUCUGUCUAAAAAAUAAACAUAAUAUGAAACAGCUGAUAGAGUCACACCUAAUUAAGGGAAACAUCGUGCAUCAAGUAAGGCUUGUUAAUCAUGUGACAUGUGGCUUUGCAGUACUUUACUGCGCUGCUGCUUUGCAUCCACAUGUAAGGUUUAGAGCCUUUGGGCACAAGACACUAUUCUCCUUAAUGACAACAAAACAAGAACUAUCAGGCUGGCUGCUCAUAACCUGGUAAGCAUCUGGAUGGGACGAAAUAGCUUAAAGAAAUGUGAUCCAUGCUAGAUAAAUGUGUGACCUGAUGAACCUGCUGCGAUUCCACUAUGUGCACUCUCAGCUCCGCCUCAUCAGUCACUGCUCUGUGACCCUUUGGACCAUCUCCAUCUUUUCUGUGGUUGUAGUGAUUGAUGAAUAUUUCACAACAGCAGCCAGUGGGUGCUUGCGUCUCUCAGCCAUGAGAACUGAUGCCACCUACGUUAUGACCUAUUUCUAUUUUUCACAGAGCAAGGAAAAGGCAGUAUGCCCUUACAGUGCAGGUCAGUUUAAUGGUGAAGGAUGCUUUCAGGUACAUAACUGGCUGCAUUACUGACAAGCUGCAAGGUCCGACAGUGCCAUUACAGUUCUGAUGGGACAAGUCAACCAAAACAUCUCAAUUUUUCUUUCCGAGGAUUUCAGAGAAGGCGAAAUGGCCGAAGUUAAACACUAACGGGAAAGAACAAAGGAAGUGUUCACGCACACAUAAAUAGUUUUUGGUUUCUAUCUUUUAGCAAAAAAGAAGACAGCAAGUCUGCACGUGUGCAGUAGCCUUUCUGUCUAAAGCAUUUCUUUAACAGAAACAAUUGGCUGAUUGACUUUAAGACUGUAAAAAUUCUGUUAACUUAGAGGAAUAUAGUGAGGAUUUCCUUAAGUGAUGUUCUGCAAAAUAAGUAAAUCACGAUAAACACUUCAUUUUUGAAAGAAUGUGCCAAACGGAGGCGUUGCCCGGCGAAUUUGCGAGAGCAGCUCUGAGGCUGUGAGUGUCACCAUCAGAGAAGCGAGCCGGUAACAAGCACACACACAGACACACCACUCAGUAGGAGGAGCAGAGAAACAUGCUGUAGGAUUUAUGUACACCUUGUGUACGAGAGGAAAAGAAGGAGCCUAGUAGGACAUUUUUUCUAAGAGCCAGGUGGAUCAGAACAGCAUCGUUUUGUACCGCCUUGUGAAUGGCCAAGCCGGCUGGAGGCAGAGCAGAGCAGCGCAGCCACGUAAUACGGUACCAGCAACGUCACAAGGGUACCUCUCAGCCAUUAGCAAUGGCUGAGUCAAGUUCCUAUUGCUGAGUUUUAACCUGAAAAGGGCACAAUUAGGAUGGGUUUAUGCUGAAUAAUCAUAUUCCAAAUAAGAUGCAAUACAAUGCCUAAACAAUGACUGCACAUGUCUACAGCUCCAUUAGACUUUCAGUUAUGCAGCUUAUCAGAAAAAAGUUGACUUAGUGGUUACUUUAAAGAAAUAGUGACAUUUUAAAAGCAUCAUUUUAGGAUUUUUGUAUUUUAUUUUUUAUAUUUGGUAGAAACUGAAAUAAAAUGUGUCAGACUGACCAGAGCUCCGCUGAGCACUCAGUUCCACUUUUGAGCUAGUAUUUAGGAUUUUUUUCUUGUGUUAGACUCCUUUAGGAAAAAUCCCACAUGACAUUUCCCCACACGUUAGUUUCCACCCUAACAGGCCACACAAAACCAGGACAAACAGAUUCAGGGAUAGCUUCUUUCCCAGGGCAAUCGCCAAUCACCAGUGGGAGUGGCACUCCAAUUUCGUUGUACUUUGUAUAAUGACAAUAAAAGGCUAUUCUAUUCUAUUCUAUUCUAACAGGCAGCCAUUAAAUUCUAAAUUGGUUUCACCAAAGGAAGUUGAAUAAGGAACAUGUUUAAUAAUCUCUCAAAAAUGUCUUUUUAUGCCAACAAACCUAAUUAUAAUGCUUUGCUAGCUUGCAGUGUGUAGUGGUCCCUGAGCUUUAGAAGCUACUCGGAGCAAUCGGAAGUAUUUUCACCCCGGCGAGGUCUGUCUGUUUCCUGGACUGACUGGGCUCCCCAGAUAUUCGUAGAAAGGUGCUAAAGCAGCCUGAAGCGCCGUGCUUUAAACAGAGAAUCACUUGGCUCUGCAAUGUGUUCAAGUCCAUGUUCCAACAGACGUCAGGAGAUGCACACAAUUCCUUCCACACAGCAGCAGCAUGCACAUCGACUCACACACAUCAGAAACACACAGAUCUUUCGUGGCCUCAGGCACAACACAGCGCAGCCCGCAUUGACUUUCAGACACAGAGCAUGUUGCCGGGUAAUUGCAUUGUUAAUCAAUGUCUCUCCAAGUCGAGACAAUGGUCGGGUCUUCACAGACCGUUUCUCCAGAUUGGCUAUGAGGUAUUCAGUGUGUAAUCUUCUCUUAGUGCAUUAUGCGGCACGUGGAUCCCCCGGGACACAUUGUUUCCAGGGAGCAGUCAGGUCACUCAUUUAUCAACAUACUCUUUUUGUUCGCUUCCAAUUUGCGUUUCACUCUACUGAGCGAUUGAACUCAAUUACAAAUGUGACUCAGUCAUACCUCGACUCCACACUGUUGUCUUUAAUCAGGUUUAACAUUGAUUUUCACUUUUUUCCCAAAAUAAUUUAGUACAAUGGUAAACGGUCUGUAUUUGAUAUAGCGCCUUCUAGAGUCCUGGAAACCCCCCAGGGUGCUUUACAACACAAUCAGUCAUUCACCCAUUCACGCCCUGGUGGUGAUGUGCUACAUGGUAGCCACAGCUGCCCUGGGGCGCACUGGCAGAGACGAGGCUGCCGAGCACUGGCGUCACCGGUCCCUCCGACCACCACCAGCAGGCAACGUGGGUUAAGUGUCUUGCCCAAGGACACGACAGCGACAGACUGAGCGGGGCUAAAGUUCACCCUGCAGGCUAGGACACGCUUAUUCUGUUUUGAUUGGCUUAUACAACUUUGUUUAAGUUACGUAAGGGAUUUGUGCAGCUUAUUGAUCCUGAAAGUGUUAUUUGUCUCCAACAACUGUAGAGAAGUAUGGACAAUGCAUUUCGGUGAAGCCAUGAUAUUUAGGGAAAGAAUGUCCUGCCUCUACUGACCCACACCUAAUCAUGGUGUUUCAUAAAUAAAUAACUAAUUACAUCUAUGAACAAAGACAGUCAAACAACUGUAUGGUAAAAUCACAUCAAUCCACAACCAGGAAAAGUAAACUACAGAAGAUGUAGCUUACACUUUAAAACCAGGCAAAUGUCCCUUUUGUUCACGGGGCAGGGCUUAAACACAGGACUGCAGCCAGCCACUAGAGGGGUUACUGUGUUUUGUCGUUUGUUGUUUUGGCCUAAUAAUCAUCAAACACUACCGGAUUAGAUUACUGCAUUACAGAAAAAGGUUUAAAACACACUGCUCCAUUGUUUCUGUCUGGUGAAACAAAGCUGAUAAACUUCUGCUGCAAGCCUCUGUUACCAGCUCCUAAAUCAAUGCACCUUGGUCUCAUUGAUGGUCAAAGACUUGCAGAUCGUACUCUCAGUACCUGCUUGUCGCCCCGUUAACAGCAUCUGCCGAUUACUCAAAGCGAUACGAGUAGGCCCUGGCUUUAGACUAGGGGUUAUUUAGACAGUAGGUAGAAUGCUUGUGCUCUUUGUGAUGUUGACACGGCCAGGUGUCCUGCUCUAUCGCUUUGUAAAGAAUGUAGUUUUAAAGUUGAAUAACAUAAAAUAACAUAAUAUAAUGUUAUUUAUGUUAUUUCCCACGUGAAGAACUCCUGUAAACCUUGCAGUAUUGAAACUCAGUGAACAAGGCAUCUUAGACAAGCUGAAAAACAAAUGGUGGUACGAUAAGGGUGAAUGUGGAACCAAGGACUCUGGAAGUAAGGACAAGACAAGUGCUCUCAGCCUAAGCAAUGUGGCGGGUGUCUUCUAUAUUCUGGUUGGAGGGCUGGGGCUGGCCAUGAUGGUGGCUCUGAUAGAGUUCUGUUAUAAAUCACGACAAGAAACCAAAAGGCUGAA